UACGUAGGGGGCGAGCGUUAUCCGGAAUUAUUGGGCGUAAAGGGUGCGUAGGCGGUUUGCCAAGUUCACAGCGACAGCCAUCGGCUUAACCGAUUGGAGGACUGCGAAAACUGGCAAACUUGAGAGCGAGAGAGGGACAUGGAACUCCGGGUGGAGCAGUGAAAUGCGUAGAGAUCCGGAAGAACACCAAGGCGAAGGCAGUGUCCUGGCUCGUUUCUGACGCUCAAGCACGAAAGCUAGGGGAGCGAACAGGG
rnacentral:rRNA from 1 species